rnacentral:rRNA from 1 species
AGUGGCGGACGGGUGAGUAACGCGUGGGUAACUGCCUUGUACAGGGGGAUAACAGUUGGAAACGGCUGCUAAUACCGCAUAAGCGCACGGCAUCGCAUGAUGCAGUGUGAAAAACUCCGGUGGUAUAAGAUGGACCCGCGUUGGAUUAGCUAGUUGGUGGGGUAACGGCCCACCAAGGCGACGAUCCAUAGCCGGCCUGAGAGGGUGAACGGCCACAUUGGGACUGAGACACGGCCCAGACUCCUACGGGAGGCAGCAGUGGGGAAUAUUGCACAAUGGGGGAAACCCUGAUGCAGCGACGCCGCGUGAAGGAAGAAGUAUCUCGGUAUGUAAACUUCUAUCAGCAGGGAAGAUAGUGACGGUACCUGACUAAGAAGCCCCGGCUAACUACGUGCCAGCAGCCGCGGUAAUACGUAGGGGGCAAGCGUUAUCCGGAUUUACUGGGUGUAAAGGGAGCGUAGACGGUGUGGCAAGUCUGAUGUGAAAGGCAUGGGCUCAACCUGUGGACUGCAUUGGAAACUGUCAUACUUGAGUGCCGGAGGGGUAAGCGGAAUUCCUAGUGUAGCGGUGAAAUGCGUAGAUAUUAGGAGGAACACCAGUGGCGAAGG